UCAUACAAUCCUAAUAGGACUCGUAUUAAUCAUUAAUUUUCUCGGGUCAAUAAUUAUAAUAUACAAUAAGCCCAUUUAAAAAUGUGAGUGGGUGGGCCCUUACGAAAGCCCAAACAAAUAAAAAAAAUGUGAGUGGGUGAGCCCUUACGAAAGCCCAAACAAAUUAAAAAAAAAAAAAAAAAAAGUGAGGGUGGGCCUUUAUUUCAGCCCAUUAUCAUUUGAACCCAAUAAAUUAAGGUGGGUCUGAUCAACGACGGCCCACGCCCACACCUUAUAAAGUUUCUAGUCGAAAUCCGAUUUCAAAUCAUAAUCCAUUCAAAAUUCGAAUUUCGAAUUUUGAAUUCCCAAAAUACCAUCUAAUAAUCCAUUCAAAAUUCGAAUUUUGAAUUUUGAACCCCCAACAAAUUAUCAAAAUAUCCUCCAAUAAUCCAUUCAAAAUUCGAAUUUCGAAUUUUGAAUUCCCAAAAUAUCAUCCAACAACACAUUCGAAAUUCGAUUCGAAUUUCGAAUUCCUAACCAAUUUCCAAAACAUCCUCCAACAACCCAUUCGAAAUUCGAUUUCGAAUUUCGAAUUCCCAACCAUUUCCCAAAAUAUCAUCAAACAACCCAUUCGAAAUUCGAUUUCGAAUUUCGAAUUCCCCAACCAAUUUCCCAAAAUAUCAUCCAACAACCCAUCCGAAAUUUGAUUUCGAAUUUCGAAUUCUCAACCAAUUCUCAAAACAUCAUCCAACAACCCAUUCGAAAUUCGAUUUCGAAUUUCGAAUUCUCAACCAAUUCCCAAAACAUCAUCCAACAACCCAUUCAAAAUUCGAUUUCGAAUUUCGAAUUCCCUAACCAAUUCCCAAAAUAUCAUCUAACAACCCAUUCGAAAUUCGAUUUCGAAUUUCGAAUUCUCAACCAAUUCCCAAAAUAUCAUCCAACAACCCAUUCAAAAUUCGAUUUCGAAUUUCGAAUUCUCAACCAUUUCCCAAAACAUCAUCCAACAACCUAUUCGAAAUUCGAUUUCGAAUUUCGAAUUCCCAACCAAAUUUCCAAAAUAUCAUUCAACAACUCAUUCAAAAUUCGAUUUCGAAUUUUGAAUUCCCUAACCAACUCCCAAAAUAUCUUCCAACUAUCCAACAACUCAUUCGAUUUCGAAUUCGAAUUUUGAAUUCCCAACCACUCCCCAAAUAUCCUCCAACCAUCCAACAAAUAAUUCAAAAUUUGAAUUUCGAAUUUUGAAUUCUUAACUAACUCCUCCCCUCCCAUUAUAAAUACGGGAACCGAAAUCAAAUUCAG
rnacentral:lncRNA from 1 species